rnacentral:rRNA from 1 species
AGUGAACGCUGGCGGUAGGCCUAACACAUGCAAGUCGAACGGCAGCACAGUAAGAGCCUGCUCUUACGGGUGGCGAGUGGCGGACGGGUGAGGAAUACAUCGGAAUCUACUUUUUCGUGGGGGAUAACGUAGGGAAACUUACGCUAAUACCGCAUACGACCUACGGGUGAAAGCAGGGGAUCUUCGGACCUUGCGCGAGUGAAUGAGCCGAUGUCGGAUUAGCUAGUUGGCGGGGUAAAGGCCCACCAAGGCGACGAUCCGUAGCUGGUCUGAGAGGAUGAUCAGCCACACUGGAACUGAGACACGGUCCAGACUCCUACGGGAGGCAGCAGUGGGGAAUAUUGGACAAUGGGCGCAAGCCUGAUCCAGCCAUACCGCGUGUGUGAAGAAGGCCUUCGGGUUGUAAAGCCCUUUUGUUGGGAAAGAAAAGCAGCAGGUUAAUACCCCGCUGUGCUGACGGUACCCAAAGAAUAAGCACCGGCUAACUUCGUG